rnacentral:rRNA from 1 species
AUGGCGUUGUGGGCGGGGCUGGGGCAGGCGGCGACGGUUGCGCAGCUGGUUGGGGUGGACGCCGGCGGGCUCAUCUCCCUAAUCACGCAGGCGGCCUUGACGGCUCGCCAGAACAAGAAGGCCUGCGAGCAGCUCUCACGCCGCGUCCACAUGAUCGCCGACCUGCUGCCGCACCUCCAGGAACCUGAGUUGAUGCGGCGGCCCGAGUUCCGGCGGCCUCUGGCCGGGCUGGGCGACACGCUCCGGGAGGCGCACGACCUCGUCAUGGUCUGCCAGCGGAAGAGCCGCUUCUACCGCUUCCUCAAUGCCAGGAGGCUGGCUGACAAGUUCAGGGACAUCCAGAGUAGGAUGGACUCCUACCUCCUCGUCGUCCCUUUCAUCAGCUACAUAGCCUUAACCUACAACCUCAACCGAAUCUGCGACUCCCUCCGUCCAAGCCAUACAACCCUUCAAUCGCCGGCAUCCACCUCCCAGUCCCACCCAGUCCCUGCUUGGAAGGGUGUUGCCAAGUUCACGCUGGCAGAGAUCGCGGCGGCGUCCAACAGCUACGCCUUCUUCACCAAGGUCUGCAAGGGCACCUCCGGGACGGUGUACAGAGGGAGGCUUAGCGACGGGAGCGACGUGGCCAUCAAGCGCAUCAGCAAGACGGCGCAGGACAGGGAGAAGGUGCUACGCACGGAGCUCGCCGUCAUCCCGCACCCCCGCCACAGCCAUUUCGUGCGCCUCCUGGGCUGGUGCGAGGAGGAGGACGAGCGCCUGGUCGUCACCGAGUACAUGCGUAACGGCUGGCUCCACGACCACCUACACGGUCGCAAGCCGCCUUCCUCGGCGGUGAUGGUGUCCUGGAAUACGCGCGUGGAGGUGCUCCUGGGCGCGUCGCGCGCCAUCAGAUACCUCCACUGCAACUUCGAGCCGUCGGUCAUCAACUGCAACAUCAAAUCCUCCAACAUCCUGCUGAACGCUAGCUGGAUGCCGCGCGUGUCGGACCUGGGGUCCUCGGUUCGGCACGAGACGGACGAGGCGGAGUACCAGGUCGUAGGCAAGGGCGGCUACAUCGACCCGGAGUACUGCCGCACAGGGCGCCUGACGCCGGCGACCGACGUGUACAGCUUCGGCGUUGUGAUGCUGGAGGUGUUGACGGGCAGGCCGCCGGUGAUAACUACUCCGGCUGAAGGGGGGGCAGGGCGAGGUCCAGAUGGACUUGGUGCACUUUGCGCUCCCACUUAUCGAGGCCGGGGAGCUGGAGAAGCUGCUGGACGGGCGCCCGGAGCCGCAGCCAACGCCGGUGCAGCUCCAGGCGCUGCAGUGGGUGGCCAACACGGCGGCCCAGUGUCUGCAUCGGCAGUCGAUAGUUCGGCCACACAUAUCAGACGUCGUGGCUCACCUCGACAUAGCGUUCAGGCUCGCCAGCACGUAGCAUGCAGUGCCGCCAAUGGAUGA